rnacentral:lncRNA from 1 species
UGGGUACACGGUGGAGCAUCUGUGGCCAAAUCUCAGCCGUCCGUACAGUGGGUUGUUUUAUGCUUGUUUUCUGAGUGGGGCUCAUGAUGGAAGUGAAGUACACUGGAUGGCCUCCUGUGCCGGGGUCCAACGAGGGUCCCCCGGCCAGUCCGGGAGUAAUUUAUGGGUCAUCGGGGUUUGGAGGGGCCAAUAAACAAAUAAUAACAUUUUAAAUUUUUAUAUGAAAGGAGCUUUAUACCAUCAAUGCGUCAUCUGACCGCAAUGAAGAGAGAUGGAAUGGCAGGGAGAGUGGGAUGAGUGCCCUCUGUACCUUUACUGAAUAAGAGGAGAGAGUUAUUGGAUACUAACUCCGAUGCCUCACUGUCACAUUUUCUAACCUGUCUGGGAAUUAUUAAUUUGGCUUUUUUCGACAUAAAAAUGCACUGAACCCUGCCCCUCUGGGUAGACAUGGCCUAUGA